GGCGUUUCCGGUUGUCAAAUAGUCAAAAUACAAAUCAUCAUAAUAUUUCUGAAAAUUUCAUCAACAUCUCAUUAGAGGAUCAAUCUUACAUAGGAAUAGUUUUCAAAAACAGAAAAAAACAGCCAAUUUUGAAAAAAAGGAAAAUCAAUACAUGAUACGAGAAAAAGUCAACUUUUAUUGAACGCCGCUGUAUCGAACUCGGCUCAGAGAAUUGGAACUCCGCAUUUCAACGACAAUGAACGCCGAAUUUGAUUACAUUUCAAGCAAUUCAUCUCUAAUUCAACAUUUGUAUACCAAAAACAAGCUUAAUGUUGCGGGCAAAAUCACCAGGCGAUUCGUUUUUCCAUUUAUGUGUUUUGUUGCUGUUAUGUGUUCUUUUCUUCUAUGCUUCAUUAUGUUCAAAACUGGAGUCAAGAGAGCUUCCAAACUUUACAUAAUUUUGUUGGCAGCUACAGACAUUAUUCAAUCCUUCAGCCUCAUAGCUCUACAGUAUGCAGAUUUUUCCUCACUUUCCUGUAAAAUCUCACGGUGGCUGGGCGUAUCAUUGAUUGUCGCUUCUUAUAAUCAACAAUUGAUUCUCACCAUAGAUCGCGUUAUCGCAAUGAAACACUUUAACUGGUACAGAAGAAAUCUUAUGUACAGAUUCAUCUACCCCCUUGUUGGAACUAUUGCCAACUUCAUACUGACGACAAUAGCAUAUCUACCCUUUACAGUUCUUGUGGAACUCCAAAAGCCAUUCAACGUUUGCAAAAUUAAAGAAAACAUUGAAGAAAAGUUUGAGUUACUGUUUGCAGGCUACGGUGUUGUUUUCAGUAUUUCUCCGCUGAUUUUCAACGUAGUACUGAAUUCAUACGUUACAAUCAAACUGAGGAAAAUGACUGAAGAACUACGAGAAAUGGAACAAAUUUCAAACGAGGAAUGGCAAAUAGAGAAAACAAUGACAAGUGGCUCUCUUUUGUGCAGCGUCACGUUUUUCAUAUUCUCUGUCGUCCGCCAGUUAAUAGUUGCAGUUUCAAGAGUUGUCGAAAAUGACUAUGUUUCAACCGGGCUCAAUUUUAACGAAAACAUCCAGUUAAUAAAUCUAGCUAGAAGCCUCUCAUUUAUUUUCGCAGCACUCAACAUGCCAAUUGUUUUCCUGCUUUUCAUUGUUCAAAACCUAGAAUUUCGAGAACAAUUGAAGAAAGAAUUUUGUUCGCUGCGAGUCUUCUGUCAAAAACCACAUCAGAAAACCACAGAAAAUGAUACCAGCAAAGCAUCAG